GUGCUCGCUUCAGCAGCACACAUACUAAAAUUGGAACGAUGCAGAGAAGAUUAGCAUGGCCCCUGUGCAAGGAUGACACGCAAAUUCGUGAAGUGUUCCAUAUUUUG
ensembl:snRNA LOC120096448 U6 spliceosomal RNA